GAUCAGUGGCUCGAGGACGAACGCUGGCGGCGUGCUUAACACAUGCAAGUCGAACGGUAAGGCCCUUCGGGGUACACGAGUGGCGAACGGGUGAGUAACACGUGGGUGAUCUGCCCUGCACUUCGGGAUAAGCCUGGGAAACUGGGUCUAAUACCGGAUAGGACUCCUGGCUUCAUGGUUGGGGGUGUAAAGCUUUUGCGGUGUGGGAUGGGCCCGCGGCCUAUCAGCUUGUUGGUGGGGUAAUGGCCUACCAAGGCGACGACGGGUAGCCGGCCUGAGAGGGUGACCGGCCACACUGGGACUGAGAUACGGCCCAGACUCCUACGGGAGGCAGCAGUGGGGAAUAUUGCACAAUGGGCGCAAGCCUGAUGCAGCGACGCCGCGUGAGGGAUGACGGCCUUCGGGUUGUAAACCUCUUUCAAUAGGGACGAAGCGCAAGUGACGGUACCUAUAGAAGAAGGACCGGCCAACUACAUG
rnacentral:rRNA from 1 species